CUUCCCCAGUUCAAGUGGGUGUCCCACCUUUUCCUCAGAGGAGGGGCAGAAUUAGGACGGACCGAAAUGCAGACCCACCAGUCUCUGGAGCCUUCUCAUCGGUCCGUUGUGGCAGAGCAGGACUUAACAGACCCUGCGUGGAAUCCAGGAGUUGGAUAACGGCGAGACUGAAACCAGACUUGCCAAAAAGGCUAUUUGUGGUCAUAAAAACUGAGACCUGAAAAUGACCUUAGCAAGUCAUCUGAGCAACGUCUGUAAUACACAUACACUAGAGUGGAUACUACAAUAUUCUAUUGCUCAUGAUUCGUUUUUGUUUGAUUUUUGCUUUGAACUUUUAAAAAUUUCUAAAAACAGUUUCAAGGAAAAAUACAAUAAAUAAAAUAUUAGCCGUUGCUAAUUGCA